rnacentral:ncRNA from 2 species
UGACUGAACGCCUCUAAGUC